GGCCUCGUGACGGAAAUGGUAGACGUGCGGAUUUCAAAUGUCCGUGUCCGAAAGGGCGUGCUGGUUCGAAUCCAGCCGAGGCCA
rnacentral:tRNA from 1 species